ACUGGCUGCUGUGCUGCGCGCCCGGUUCUGCAGGACUCAGCAUGCUGUGGAGCCUCCUGCCGCCCCACCCGCAGCCCUGGGCUGCAGCAGAGCGGGUUGGGGUGUGUCCGGUGAGCAGUGCUCCCACCCACUCUUCAGUCGGGUCUACAAACCUCGCAGCCGGCGUGGAAUUCCUGCACUGUCACUGCUGUCCCACUCCCGCCACCUCAUUCAGGCUGAGCAGUGGUCACCCGCCUACCCGCACAUCACCCGCGCGCCAAGAUGGAAAUGGGCCGCCCCGCCGCAGAAGAGGCAUUGUGCAGCCCGAGUCCGGAGUGUUAUUGGGGUCCCGGAUUUCUGGACUCUACUUUGCAUUCUCACGUGGCGCCGUGUUCCUCAGUCUGGGCCCCACUUCUGAAGCAGUUUCCUCCGGCCCCUAAGUAGCUGUGUGACAGAAAAAGUAUUGAUGGGGCUUGCUUUAAUAAUAGCCUCGAUGUUUUCGUAUGAGAUGCCCCGCGUGAGAUUUGACAAGACCCACUAGGAACUUCUAAAGACAUAACCUUGAAGCUGCCUUGUAACCACUGGAGGCAGGACUCAAACAAGCAUGAGGAAGUGGAGCCUGAAAUCCUGGAGAAGGACUGCCCAGCCUCCAGAAGGAGAAUCUAAGCCAAGUUUCCUCAUCCUUUUAGGGAUCUGUUUGCCUUUAAAGUAAAGUAGCAGAAAAUCCAGCUGUAGCUAUCGGCUAUGAACCAAAAGCAAAUCGGAACUGAAGCCUUCACCAUUUGCAAUUCCCAGCCCCCUUCUACAACUGUACCCAGAGCAAAUGAGGUCACCCUCUCCCUGUAGAGUCAGCAUAAGUCUGGGCAGAAGAUGACGCCGUUGACACUCAGCUGAAAACUGAGACUGCAGCAUUUGCAAGAUGCAGGAAAGAACAGAGGCUCAGACUCUGUCAUCUAUAUGCAGGCAAUGCAGGUAACAUGUUAAAUACCUAUAAUGGCCAUGAUAAUUAAAUCCAGUGAGAAAAGAAUGGCCAGCAGGGUGCCAGUGCCCAUAUUAGAGCUCUUGCAGACAAAGAAGAAGGCUCAAAUAUGUUGUUUUAAUUCUUCUGAAAAGAGAAAACACUUUUCUUUUUUGUUCAUAAAAAUAAUAUAUACUGUGGGGCGCCUGGGUGGCACAGCGGUUAAGCAUUUGCCUUCGG